AUAAUUUCCUGAGCAUCUUGAUGUUCCAGCACCAGCCCAGGUGCCAAGUAGAGGGUGAUGAUCUACACAAACAUGGUCCCUGCCCUCAGAGGUUGAGAACCUAGUAGACAACAGCUUGGCUUCUGAAACACUUCCCACCUCCAUCACAAGAUCCCAGGAACCUCUCCCACCAAAGACAAUGACUUUCACGUUGUGAACACAGACAAAGUCAAGAUGCAGUACUUGUAAUCAACAGUAAUCUCCUCUCCAGAAUGCCAUAUUUGCUCAGAAUGCCCACCAACAUGGAGAGAUGUGAUGGUUCACAAAAAGGACACGAGAGUGAAUGAUUUAUCUGGCAGCCAAGAACACAAACUCAGGCCUAAUCUCUAUUGCUUAGAUGUAGAACAGGGCAAUCAGGCAGAAGGCUCA